CUUAUACUCCCUCCGUCCGGAAAUACUUGUCGGAGGAAUGGGUGUAUCUAGACGUAUUUUAGUUCUAGAUACAUCCAUUUUUAUGCAUUUCUCCGACAAGUAUUUCCGGACGGAGGGAGUAUGAU
rnacentral:pre_miRNA from 1 species